rnacentral:rRNA from 1 species
CCUACGGGAGGCAGCAGUGAGGAAUAUUUGUCAAUGGGCGCGAGCCUGACCCAGCCACGCAGCGUGAAGGAUGACUGCCCUACGGGUUUUAAACUUCUUUUAUAAAGGAAUAAAGUGAGGCACGUGUGCCUUUUUGUAUGUACUUUAUGAAUAAGGAUAGGCCAACUACGUGCCAGCAGCCGCGGUAAUACGGAGGAUACGAGCGUUAUCCGGAUUUAUUGGGUUUAAAGGGAGCGUAGAUGGGUUGUUAAGUCAGUUGUGAAAGUUUGCGGCUCAACCGUAAAAGUGCAAUUGAUACUGGCAGCCUUGAGUACAGUUGAGGUAGGCGGAAUUCGUGGUGUAGCGGUGAAAUGCUUAGAUAUCACGAAGAACUCCGAUUGCGAAGGCAGCCUACUAAACUGCCACUGACAUUGAGGCUCGAAAGUGUGGGUAGCAAACAGGAUUAGAUACCCUAGUAGUC